CCCUAAACAGCCAAUAGCCGCAGAUACCGACUUUUGAAUUGAGCUGAGCUUGUAUCCGCAACUAACAUAAUAUUUCUGUGACCUCCCCUCACAAAACGUUUAUUUUUCACAUAUCUGUCCAGACGGACCACAUCUCUCAGCUCUCACCCACACAAGUUUGCUCGGAGCUCUAGACCACAAACCAUCCAGCCAGGAUCUUUGCUCACAGGUAGGUUGGCUGAAAGCACCUUAAAUACAGGCCAAACUACUAACUUCCACUGUUGAUAAUUUACCUUAACUUUGUCUUGGCACGUUUUUACUCCUUAUUUGAGAUUUACUGAGUUUGCAAAUUCUAGUUGACUAACAUCUACAGGGCUGUCAGUAUUCAGGCCUACAUGAGAAAAUAGAAAGCCUAAUAAAGUUGUUUGGUCUGACUUGUUGGACUUUUUGCGGACAAAUUGCACACAGGUAUGGCCACUGAUGUCUUUCAGGAGACUAUUUGCAAUGGCCAGGAUAAAGCCCAAUGUAAGCUCUAAAUAUGACAAGUUUUCUUAUAGGGGAGAGUGGGGUAAGAUGAGCCAUUUUUCAUAUUCCGGAUCACUUCAUCAAGGCAAUCAUAGUUUUGUCUCUAACUAGUGUAUCUGCAAUAAUACACUAGUGUAUUUCAAGAUGUUGUGCAUCCCUGCAAACCAACAGAAUGAGUGUAACCAUAACUGUCUUGAUAAUAUAGCAUAACAACUUACCCUGUGUAUGGGGUAAGUUGACCAUAGGAGCAGGGUAAGUUGAGCCCUAUUCCUACUAGCCCCCACUCCCCACCCCAGCCCACCUUCACUGUCUCUCUCCCUAAAUAACAGUCACUUCUUCACAUUCAUGUGUAUUUUUAUCUGUUAUACUCUCUUCAACUGGUACAAUAAUUCUUUUUAUUAUUAUAACUGCUAAAAAGCUGUUUUGUAAAAAUCCAUUUUAACAUGAGAAUGUCUUUAAGUGAUUCAGAACAUUUGCAACUGUAUUUUUGAAAAGAAAAAGUAACACAUUUCAACAAUCUGAACUGAAACUCUGAUCCUCUCAUCAGACUCCUUUACUAUUAUGAUGACUUUUAGUCCUCUAAGCUAAAACGGUGGACUUUUAUGUCAGUUUUUGACCUCAUGUUGUAGCUCUUAGAUACCACAAUUGAUGUAUGAAACAAAUUUAAAAUGAUCUUUUUUUGGUCUGAACACAAUUCUAAUAAAACUUAUGACAGACUAAAUUCACUUUCAAAAGUGGAAUUUUUUUCUUUUUUUGGAAAUUAAUUAAUCCAACCCCUUCACUCAUGUGCUUCUAACCUUCACAGACUCUAUCAAUUGAUGUCCAUCUCCUAAAUAUUUUGUGAUAGUUGAGAGAUAUAGCUAAUACCACUGUGAGAUCAGACAGAUUGACUGAUUCAAAAAAAGACUUAGAAAACAAAACAAAAUUUUAUAAUAAAAAGAUGCCUUUAAUAUGAAGCUGUUAUAUGAAAUGAUGUGAAAUCAGAUUGUAAAGAUGUGGCAUGUCAAUAAAUACAUUUAAAAUGCAAUUUUAUUACAUAUCCACCAGAUGUCAGGAUAGUUUUAUUUAGUGAUGUGAAGUGUAGUUAAAACUUAUACCAACAUGACUCAAAUGGCGGAGCUUUUUAGCUUACAGGUGAUCAGAUAUGAUAGAAAUUCCUAUAGGAGACAAACCACACGAGUAUUUUGUGCUUUUACUGACAUUGCAGCCGAUCUUGAUAUUUUCUCUCUGCAAAUUUAACAAUAUCUCUUACGAAGAAAGUUUAAGAAUAUGAAUAAAAAUGGAUUUUUGCAGAACUUUGGCUUAGAUUUAACUCAGAGUUGUUUGUACGGCUUUUGACACCAAUUGUGUAAUUUUUCAAAAUUUCAUGUGAGGGAUUGUUGUCAGAGUUCACUCUUAAAGGGCCCUAACAGUUUCAUCAUAUCAUGGAAAAUAGUCAUGGUCAGGAGAAGAAUAGGCCUGUUUUUCUAUAGAUGUGUAUAAAAUAGUUGUAUUUUAUCAUUUGAGUGGUGGUGAUUGUACCUAUACUGAACAUGCUCUAGAUGGCAGUAUUUACUUGGUCACUCCUUGGCUGCGACUAGAUAUGCUGUAAACUUGAAUAAAUGGAUUAUUCUUUGAGAACUGCACCCACUGUGUUCAGGUAUGAGACCUAAAGUAGAAACAGAAGUGUAAAUGUUUUUGGUGCAUUUCAUAGGAGACCCUGAUCAAUAUUUGUGACCAGAUAUUUGUAUGAAAUUGAAAUCAUGACAGUGCAAGAUCAUUAUAUGAAACUAAACACAUUAAUGAUUUAAAUGGAGGAUUCAAAUUCGGCUUUGAACAACAGGGGCAAAGAUUCUCUGAGUUGACACAGUGCAGCUGGAUGUGACCAAACUCCUCUCAGGAAUCCAUAACAUUCCCCACCGAGACACGGACAGAAGAGUCAUAUAGUGUUUGUUGUUAAUCUCUCCUGGUGCAGAACUCCAGACCGAGGAUCCUCUGAGUGCUCCAAGCUGGGGAUUCGGACUUUGUGGCCAUAGCCUGUGCAGAGACAGAUAGGCCUGCCUGUUUUAUAUGUAAAGCUUCCAGCCAGAAAGCACAGGCCCGCAGGGUUCUCUGCACAACUCCUUUGUUGAAGCCAAACUGUCAUGGGGUCCCACUGUCUAAGCUGCUUUGCAUUCUGGGAGCACACGAGAUGGGAAGGACAGGAAGCAUCUAAGGUGGGUGAAAGCUGGCCUUUUUAUAGGAAUUUGAGUUGUCAUGCUUUUAGACAAAACUAGCAUGAGCCCGGACGACAGUGUCAUGUUCAAACGAGUCCAGAAAGAAGACAAGACUUCACCUUUUUUAAUGCUUCAAUCUUUUCACAUCCUCACUUUCUGCUUCCUGUUUGGUGUGUCCACUGUGGUAAACAGUUGGAGAUAAUACCGCUCAGCUCUUCAGUUGCCAGGGAUUAUUUGGUGCUGUCAAUCAUUGAUUUGGUCCAAUGGUGCACUUUGAUGUGCGCGUGGACUCGCUGAGUCGACUAUUAAUUGAACCUCACAGUGGAGCCAAUCACAGCCUCCCAGUUCCUCAUCCUCUAUCAGCAAAGCUGCAGCGAACGGCCUCAUUUUAGCCUCUUGGGCAUGUUAUCAUUGCAAAUGAGCUGGUUAUCAACAAGACAGCCUAGACUACACAAAUAAACAGUGCAAGGGUGGAUUAGAGGAGUUUCCCUGUGUGCCUCUGUACUGUAGUUCGCUGGUUUUGUUUGAAGAUGUCUGGGUUGUUUUGCAAGCAUUUGUAUCAGGCUCUUUUUUUGGGGGCACAGAUUAAACUGUGUAGAAUUAAUAUAAAAAGCUUGAAAAUAGGUUCUUGAGACAGUUGUGCUUUGGCUGCAAUUCAGAAUUUGACAAAACAAUGAUUAUCUAUUGUAAAGACUUGAGUAAACAGAGUGUGGCCUCCAUUUGCAGCUGUGUGGCACAAUGUUGUCGAGCCAAUACGGGGGAACCAGACGGAAAGAAAAGAGAGGUGGGCUAUCUGUUUGUGCUCUGCCUCGCUGUAAUUUCCUGUAACAUGGGGCACGGCCGUGGCUCUUUCAGCAAACAGUUCGCCUUUCAAGAAUGAUUUGAAAAUAUACAUUUUAAUAAAGAGCACUGAGGCACAGCCAACGAGACACAAGGAAAAGAUAAAAAGAAGAUUGCAUAUCUGAAAUAAGCAGAGGGUGGAAGAGAGAGGAAAAAUAAAGGCUAGACAGAGAAUAAUAGGGGUAAGGGGAGGACUUGUAACAGCAAGGUGUUUUUUCUUUAAUUAAAGUGGCGGGGGAAUGUAAAAUGGGAUGGCAUGCUCUGGGCAAAGCAAUUUGAACAUGUCGUGAAUUUAGAGCGCUUUAGCAGCAUUUUUAAUCUGCUGCACAAAAUAAUGCAAAUAUAACAGACGUCUUCACCGGCUGCCUGUUAUUUCUCCACAUAAUGAAGCCACCUCUCCCAUCUAGUUUUUACUUUCAGGCAAUCAGGCAGCAGCUCGAGUCAUUUCACUCUGUUUGUUUGAAGAUAGACAGGCAAAUUGACAAGUUUACUCCUAAUAUAAAAGUCAGACAUCCCCUCAUCCCUCCCUAACUCCCCUCUGUCUUUCUCCAAUUUCUCACUCAUCUCUCGUUUCUGGUCUCUCUCUUUCCUACCCAUCUAUUUUUAGGAGGAGUGCCUUUAAUUAUGCAUGUUGUCAUAGUGCUUUUAGCAUUAGUGUCAGUUAAAAAGAUGUGUGUCUGUGCAUAAAUCUCACGUACAGAGCACAGACUCGGCUUGCUUGAUGCUUUCUUGGUUUGGUUUGCAUCUGAUUGCAACCUCAGCAGAAGGACAGCAUUUAAAGCAUGACACAUGAGAUACCUCAGCUCUCAGGAGACGAGCAAGUGUAGACAUGUCUGGAAAAGGGAAAAAACAGUAUGAUGAUCGUACUUUGAUAACGACAAACAUACGGGGGUGCAUGAUUCCUCAAAAGCACACUGUCAUUUUUGUUUCUACCUAUAAAAUCUUGUAGUAUUCUAGAUUUUUCCCCAUUAAACACUAGGGCUAGGAGAAAAAAUUGAUUCACAUAAGGAUCGCGAUUUUUUUAUUAUUAUUAUUAUUAUUAUUUUUUAAAUAUAACAAUAAAUCUUACAUGUGAUGUGUAUUUUUUAGACUAAAAAUGAGAAAAUUGUCAAUAUGAUAGAUUCGCAAUUUAAAUCGAAUCAGCACCUAAAAAAUUAUAGAAGAAUCUAAUCGGGAGAAAAGCAUAUCGUCCCAGUCCUACUAAACACCAAAUAAGUUUAAAAAAGUGACACUAACACAUUAGAGAGUUUUUAGCUGAUCAUGAAACAGAGCGACGUUAUCACUGAUGCAUGUUUGAGACAUAAAGUAUGCAAGAUUAUCAGGGAUAACGCUGAACCUUUAUAAAUGUGCCUUUUUAAGAAGAAAAUCAGUGCAGCCAUCAGGCCAAAUAGAGCAAUUCACAAGAUUGAAUUAUACAGAAUUUAUUUACAGUAGAUGACAGCUAUCUUGUAGUGACUAUGCUGACCUGAAUUUUAGUCACCAUCUGGUGACUAAAAGGUGUUUUCGACGCGCUUCUAGUGCAAUCCAAUGUCUAAUCCAGUGGUUCUCAAUCCAGUCCUCAAGGCCCACUGUCCUGCAUGUUUUGGAUGUUUCCCUGCUCCAACACACCUGAUUCAAAUGAUCAGCUCGUUAUCAAGCUCUGUAAUGUCUUAAUAACGAGCUGAUCAUUUGAAUCAGGUGUGUUGGAGCAGGGAAACAUCCAAAACAUGCAGGACAGUGGGGGCUCGAGGACUGGAUUGAGAACCACUGGUCUAAUCCAAGGUUGUUGUUGUUGAGUUAUCUUUUUGCCAUUUAUUGAUUUAAUGUAAAACAAACAAAAAAAGACAGAUACGUCCAACUUACUAUGAUGGUGAUAUGCGUGAUGAGGGUGAGAAUGGUGUCAGAGAUUAGCACUAAAAACCGUGUGCUCUUCCUGUUUCCCAGAUGACUGCUUCACCUGUGUCCCUUUGUAGCAUUUACCUGCGCAUUCACCUUAAGUGCCCCUUGUGGUGAUUGGCUGAGUAACCAAACAAAACCCCAAAAAAUAAUAGAUAAAAUAGCUCAUGCAUAGCUAAUGUUAGAUUAUCAAAGAGAGAGAAUAUACAGCUUUGUCCACAGGGGGCGCCAAAAUCAACCCAAAUCAGAAGUUGCUUUCUGUAGCUUUUCUCUAUGUUUGAUUCUUUUAAAUGUUCAACCCCUCUCAAUGCUGAAUUGCAUUUUUCUAUCACAAGAAACAUUUAAUAUUUAAUAUCACUAGUCAGUUGUUUACAGUUACAUGUAAAAUAAUUAUGUGGUUAUCGACAAACACUGCGGGAUACAUCUAAGAGCCCAAACUCGGUCUUGCAUUCCCUCCAAAACCAUGUAGAACCAUACAGAUUUGACACCAGAGUGACACCCACUUAUUUCAAACAAGACACACUCUAAACACCAAAUUAUAUAGCCUCUUUCUCUACCUCUGUCACACUGCGCUCCAGUUGCUUUCAAUUUACCGGCCUGUCUCUCUGUCGCGCCGUCUCCCUUUUUUCAUUAAUGCUUUGGCCUUUUAAGAGCACAUGGCUUCCUCCUGUCUCCUCUAGUCUCAGACUGUGUCAUCUUUACACCAGGUCCUCCAUUUCAAUUGUUUUUUUCAUGCGUCCUCAUUUUCUCCUCCUUUUCUUAGUUAAACUCUAUCCAACCCUCUCCCUCUCCUGCUUCUUUCAUCUCCUCUCCGUCCAUCUCCGUCCCUCCUCGCCCCGGUGCUUCUUUGUUUUGAUAUAUGACCUAAUUACUCGGCUAAUUGAGGUUCUUGAAGCUGCCACACAGUUUGGUGGUUGGGAAUUCUAUCUGCUUGCUUUUACAGUACAUGUAAAGGUCAGAGUCGGUGUGAUCGUUUGUCAAAUAUCAUCACUUCCUGCUUGGUUAAAGGUUCUGUGACAGUCUGAAAACACAUGAAAACACUUGUGCAAUCACUAAGAUUAUCCUGAACAUGUCUGUAUUUCUUUGUUUCAUGCUGGCUAGCAUAUAGAGGGUCACUAAUACUGCCGCUCCCCUGGUGACAAUAGUAGAUGCAGUCCUCCAUCAGCUAAUUUCCCUUUCAUAAACGGCUUUAACUUCUGAUUCUUAUCUCCUGGCAAAGAAAUUGACUGCUGUAAAAUUGCUCUUAAAGACAAUUAUGUUCAGUAAUAUGCAUCCCAUUCUGCAGAUUCUUUUCAAUGACAAAUUAAUCUCUGGUGUCCUUUUAAAAGAGCCAGGAGCACUCAUUCCUCUCGCCUCCUUUUCUUCUUCUUUUCCACAGGAUAUUUCACCCUCUUAAUUUUCAACUCUUUUCUUUUCUUUUGCUGAACAAGCUGUUUCUUUUUUCCAACUGUAUUGACUGCUUGUCACACGCCUGAGAAGGGUCUGCGCCUCCUCCUUCUCCUCUGACUGCUUUUCUUCACCCUAGUUUAGAUUAAUUGACUGCUGUAGAUAGUCAGAACAGUAUUGUUGAUCUUCAAUAUUAACUCACUUGUCUUUAAAAGUGACUGCUAUUCUUUUGGGCGAUGCAGUGUUACAAUAUCUAGCAAAAUAAAUGACCUGAUUUCAUUUGCUGCAAUGUUCACAGUCUACUAAGCAACUUGAGAAAUGGUUGUGCAUGUGCACAGAUCAAAACUUGCCUCUCCAGACAUUUCUGCAUAUAGAUAUUGUUGUUUCCUGAUGAUUUACAUUCCUCAGAGACACUAAUGUAGGAGCCAAAAUGUUGCUUUGCUUAUAGGUUAUCCUGUGUUCAGUUAUUUUAUCUGGUUGCUAUUGGUUUCACUGGGUUUGGGUCACCUGGGCACUGUGUUUGAAAGCCAGUAAGUUAUAUAAGGGGCGGUCUUACCUGCACUGAGGUGGAGAGGUGAGCAUAGGUAGCAGUAAUUUUUGUUGAUCGCGCAGUGUUCACAUAUGACAUCGCAUGUGUGCAAUCAUUGGUCAACGUCGAGGCGUUUUUCUGUCAUUAAAGCUCCUAAAACUUUGAUAAACAGUGGGUGCUUCUUUGGAACAGCAGCAGCGUGUCACACAAACAUACAGGACCUAGUCUCUGCCUCAAGUGACUUUUUAAAGGUACAAGGAAAGCCGCAAUAUCCAACUCCUUUAUUUCUGUUGGGUCUCAGUUUUACUGUAAAUAGCAAGUUACACAAAUAUUUCACUCUGUUCAGCAACCAAAUCACAAAAAUAUUGCUUAUUUUUCAAGGUUCAUAUCGCUGAAGUUAAUGCUGUCACAGGUUAUGGUUUUCCAGGCAUGGCUUGUUACAGAUUUUUAAAGAGCAGAAAUGCAAGCUUUGGGAAGUCUGUCCUCGAGAGGAGAGAGAGAGAGAGAGAGAGAAAAAAUAUAAAAACGGAGAGAGUUUGUUUGUCGAAUAAGCACUGGAUAAUGCAUUCUGGGGAAUCUGGAAAAUCCAAAUACUGACUCACUUUCAAGUAGCAUCAUGCAAAUUAUGGUUGGAUUUGAAUGUAUAAACAUGACCAGAUUUUUAGCUGCUUUUCCAUGAAGUUAGUUAUUGACAGAGAUACAUAAACUGUUGUCACAUACCACAGAAGGGAGCUGGGAUGUCAUUACAAUGGACUGCAUUCCACCUAUUUCCAAGACUAUUUUUCCUGCCAACCAGCCGGUGGGAUCGGCAUGUGCAAAUUCAAAAAAAACUUUUCCCAAAAAAUCUGAUCAUUUCCCACACUUAAAUCCAGAACCCUGCUAGGAUUCUUCAUUUCUCUAUACAGCAAAGUCUCUAAAUAGAGGUUAUAGUUAUGUGACACCGCCUUUUCAUUAAGUGCCUCCAUCACGGCUGCAUGACUUCAAGUCUAGAACAAUAACUGUUUUUAUGAAGUUCACCAAAGUUCAAACAUGAAUAUUAAUAAUAAGAUUAUUAAUUCAAAUGCUUUAAUGAUUUAAUAACCUAUAUAGAUGACUUUAAAGUUUACCCCCUUAGGGUCCUGCAGCAGCUGCUAACUGUAUCCUGGCUCUGCCUUAGGCCAGCUGUGCAGAUAAUCUUAGGUGCAGAUUUGAGGGAGAAUGACAACAUUGAUAGUCCCUUGUUUUAUGUGGAGGAAUUGCUGAACUUUUAUGACUUAGAAACUACUUUUUGCCUGAUAAACUAAUAUAUAUUAUAGCUCUUUUUACCAGAUAAGGUAAUGAAUUGUGUUGCACGGGUGUUGGAUUUUAUGUAAGAAAUAAUGAGCAGUUUGUGCAAUGUGACUGAAUGGUUUCCUGUGGGGACAAACUUUCUCUCUUUCUCGAAAUGGCAUCAAAACAUCCUCAGCAAUUUUGCGAAGAAGUUAUGCCAGUCUGUAGAAAAAUUAGGCUACCUUUCACCAGCACCGGGGGAAUCUCUCAAGAGUCCAAGCAAAUCUCUGAGCGCGAGCUUUUUAAUCAGCUAUUCAAUCUAGUCUAGCGUCGACUGACUGCUGCUAUUGAAGAUGAUUUCUCCCAAAAGCUUUUCGUUCGCUUUCCAUCUGCUUUAACAUUCCCUCUCAAAGAAACCUCCUUGUACAAUCGCGGCCCUUGCCAACAUCAGAGAUCAAAUAUUUGGUACAAGGACACAGUCAUCAGUAAAGGAGGACAGCCCAGUAAUCAUUUAUUUUUCCUAUCCUGAUUUCAAAAGUGACACCCAAGGGAUUAGCUCACCUUCAUCACACAAGGCUCCCACCGCCCCCUGCUGUUCAUCCUGGCAAAGCUCAGAGCAGUUUGUCCUUGUUCUGCAAAGCCAUGAAUCCUGCAUGGGAUGGAUAUUUUGAUCCAUGACGCUGCAUCUUCCACUGACUGCAAGCCGUGUUCCAUCUCAUCAAACACGGUCGUCUGUUUCCCUGCCGGUGCUGAUGGAGGAAAAGUCUUUGGCAUCUCAUUAUUAAUUGAAUUAAGGGGGAGUAUUUCUGGAGCAAGGUGAAUUCUGGGCAUAGUAACAAAGAAUUAUUUAUAGUGUACUUUGAAAAUUCCCAUGCUCUAAUGGGACUAAGACCAUCACUGUCUUUGCAGAUAAGAACACUGAUGCUCACACAUGGAAACAAAUCUUCUGCCUGCCAUACAAACCACCUGGUGCAGCACAAACCAGCCUGGACAGAGAUGCUUCACCCCAAAAUAGCUUCAACUAUAAAAUAUAAACUAUAAAAUAAAACUGUAACAUCACAGUGUUUCACAUAUCAAGUAGACCAGGGAAUGUAUAUAGACUAUAGGAUCAUGAUAACUUUAGUUUAAGGCAGUUUGGUGCUAAAAUAAUGACCAUUUGUGGAUAUUUAGGGAAAAAAACUCAAAUAUGUGCAAAAACCCCAGAGUUGAGGGGCAGCAAAGGUCUGGAAAUUAGUCUGAUGGAGUCAUCAGCAUACCAAGUUUUAUCAUGUCAAUUCAUCACAUACUGUUUUCCUUUAGUCCUUCUUUCUGUCCUGAUACACAGAAUUGAUCUUGAUGCUAACAGAAAAAAGCUAAUAGGCUAACAGGAGAAAAACCUGAAGAGGGUGAUGAAGGUUUCAUGUAGCAUCUCGAUACUUUAGUCUUGAACUUAGAGGUCGUUUCAAGAGAGAUUUAGUCUCACAUGUUAUUGGCAGUACCUCAUUAUUUUGUCAUGUUUGUAUUACUGCUGCUGCAUGACACGCAUCUCUUACUGCAUAUAGUGUCAUCUUGCCUCUAGAUUACCUCAAACAGCAAACAAAAUAAUCUUUUUAUAAGUACAGUCUGCAGAUUUUCCCUCGCUUAGAAAUAGAAGAACAUAAAUAAAGUUAAUGUAACACAACAACUGUAUAAGAUGAAUGCUAACUCCUAUCAUUUCUGACUUGUUUAUGCAGUAAGGCCUAAUGAGGCAUCAGGUACCAUUAUGAAUUUUAAGGUGUUGUGUUGAAGAAUUGGAAGGCAUUGGAGUAUAGCUAACUUGUUCAACUAACUGUUUUUUUGUCAUGUGUAAAACUACUGAUUUUACAUUCGGGAAAUUGAAAGCUUUCUCUAUCACAGGUUUACCUGAUGCAAAAAUGUUUGUCUUUUUCCCUAGUUACCACCAGCUCAGGUAGCUAUACACUGCUCUCCAAAAUCAAGUGUGAUUACAGCACCGAGAAUGGCUGAAAUGGAGGGUUAGUGGAGAAACAAGAGGGGUUGUGGGCGUGUGAAGAUGGAGAGGAGUACUGGGUCAUUAGUCUUUGAUGUUUUUUUUCCCCUCUGAUAUGACCCAUGACUAAUUCUCCUCCACAUUUUUCACAUGAAGGGUAUGUGUGCAGUACUUUGUUAUCUAUGAAUAUAUUAACAAAAGUGAUUUAUUAUGCAUUAUUUUGUUUGUGUCCUGAGGACAUCUUACAGGCCUUGCACCCCCAGUUUGAAAAAACUCACCUCCAAUGAGAACUGCAUGCUAAGCACUGAUGUCAAGGUUGACUAUACUGUGUAGAAAUCCCUUGUUAAUCCAGACUUUAGCUUCUUCCCUCAACCCCCCCAUUGGACCACAAAGUCUCCUGGGACAUGCUUCCACCUUGUAUGCAUGAAUCUAUUAUUAGGUUUUCUGUAGAAAAGUAGCCUGCUCCUUGUAAGUAACCAGAAUGGAUACUUUUUAUGUCAGAAUCAGAAUCAGCGUUAUUGGACAAGUAUGUGUACACAUACAGUACAAAGAAUUUGACUCUGGUAAACUUUGCCCUCUGUGUACAAACAUGAACUAUUAAAAAAAAUGUUAAAAAAUUACAAGUAUGUUCAUGUGAAGGGAUCAUAUCGAUGGAGCAAUAUUCUUCUGUGUUUUGGGACCUGGUUAAAAGCUACUCAUGAAGGACUAAUCAGGUGUUAUAAUGGGUCUCCUGAGACAUGAAUGAUAAUACAAUAGGAGUGUACUACAAAGCCUACGGGAGUAGAUAAGAAAUUAGUGAUAUUUAUGUUCUUAACCCCUCUCGUAAUCUCACUGACAUUUAAUUUGCAUGUACGGGUAUUUACAUGGCUUACAUCGGUUAUAAGUUUUGCAAGCAGCUAAAUACAAGUGAGGAUAAGUCAGUGCAGAUAACACUUUUCUUCAACUUUGUGUUUAAUGCCAUAGAUGUUAGACCUAUCCUUUUAUGAGCACUGUUGUAGAACAGUGAAUAAAAGACCUGAUGUCAAGGGAGACAUCUUGGCACACAGGAGCAAAAAGAAAGUAUGUAAAACUUUUCAGAUCAGAAGUCCUAAAACAACUCCCAUUCUCUGAGUUAAGACCGCAUUUUCUUAAGUCUGCAAAGAUAUUUGUUUCAACAUUGGCUUUUAUUGGGCCAUUCACUCCACUAAGUCCACUAAGUGCACCUGCUAUGAGUCGGAUCACAAAGUACCAUCUCAGUGAAGUGGCCUUACUUUGUUAACAUUAUUGUUUCCUCUAAAGGACUUCACUUGCAGGACUUUGGCCCUGUGGAUAAAAUUCAGUAAUGAGAAAAUACAAACAUCGAUAGUCUAUCUGCCUUUUUUUCUCACCUUUGUAGGUUCUUAGAAGUAAAUAGUCUGUAUGCAGAGUGUCUGCUGUUUGUCAUCUCUGUACCUCAGGGAAGAUGAUGUUCAGC